AUAAUACUCCAUAGAUUAGAGACACUGGAAUGUUCUUUAGUCGAAAGUUCUGGCGCCUUAGGAUGGAUCUGCGGUCGAUUAGGUUGUUGUUGGGGUAACGGCCCAACAAGCCUGUAAUCGAUACGGGUUGUGGGAGCAAGAGCCCGGAGAUGGAAUCUGAGACACGAUUCCAGGCCCUACGGGGCGCAGCAGGCGCGAAAACUUUACAAUGCAGGAAACUGUGAUAAGGGAACUCCGAGUGCCCGUAUACGCGGGCUGUCCAGGUGUUUAAAAAUCAUCUGAAGAAAGGGCCGGGCAAGACCGGUGCCAGCCGCCGCGGUAAUACCGGCGGCUCGAGUGGUGGCCACUAUUAUUGGGCUUAAAGCGUCCGUAGCUGGACCGAUAAGUCUCUUGGGAAAUCCGCCGGCUCAACCGGCGGGCGUCUAAGGGAUACUGUUAGUCUAGGGACCGGGAGAGGUGAGAGGUACUCCGGGGGUAGGAGUGAAAUCCUGUAAUCCCCGGGGGACCACCGAUGGCGAAGGCAUCUCACCGGAACGGCUCCGACAGUGAGGGACGAAAGCUGGGGGAGCGAACCGGAUUAGAUACCCGGGUAGUCCCAGCCGUAAACUAUGCGCGUUAGGUGU
rnacentral:rRNA from 1 species